rnacentral:rRNA from 1 species
CGAAGGAUGCAAGCGUUAUCCGGAUUCAUUGGGUUUAAAGGGUGCAUAGGCGGACUUGUAAGUCAGUGGUGAAAUCUCUCAGCUUAACUGAGAAACUGCCAUUGAUACUGCAGGUCUAGAGUAUAGAUGACGUUGGCGGAAUAUGACAUGUAGUGGUGAAAUACUUAGAUAUGUCAUAGAACACCGAUUGCGAAGGCAGCUAACGAAACUAUAACUGACGCUGAGGCACGAAAGUGCGGGGAUCAAACAGGAUUAGAUACCCUGGUAGUCCGCACCGUAAACGAUGAUUACUCGUUGUUGGCGAUAUGACAGUCAGCGACCAAGCGAAAGCGAUAAGUAAUCCACCUGGGGAGUACGCCGGCAACGGUG